rnacentral:lncRNA from 1 species
CGGGAUGUGACAGUUGAGGCUGGGAGCAGAAAUAAUCAACAUGCCCAUUAGAUACAGGACGGAAUAAUGCUUCUAUUGGUUGGGUCCCUUCGAGGACAGAAGAGCUCCUUGGCACUGGAUGCCUCCGGGUCUGGUUGAGAGAGGAAUGGUUAGGAGACUGUUCUGAGGAUACGCAGACAUCAUCCAAAGCUUCCUACAUUCAGAUGAGGACAGAGGUUGGGCCAGAGCUUUGUAAGCUUGUUACCUAAGGAUGGUUCUGACCAUGUAAGCAGAUCACAGAAGAGCCAGCCUUGACAAUGUGCUGAUGGCAACCU